AGUGUUCAGAAACAUGUUAUCCAUGGAACUCCACACUGCAGGACUGCCAUUCAAAGUGUGUAAGAGAUCACUUUGCUCCUUCCUGAAUGGUGAAAUUCUGUCAAGCAAGUUGUGAACAGACACAGAAAUCUUGGUGUAAAGCUUCGUACUCCCAAAUGAGUCUUCAGCCUCCAGUGGCCAGUCGUAUCAGCCAUUCUUUUAUCUUACUGAAAUGGGAGCCAGUGAACUCUUCUGAUGUGAUGUACAUUGUGCAAUGGAAACUCACAGAAUAUCGGAGGAAAUGGAACGAAUCCAAGGCAAGUAUUUUCAAAAAUUGAACUUGAAUCAGAAUAAAAGAGAACAAAAAAAAAUAGCACCUCAUUUGAAGGGAUUCUUUGGUGGGCUCUACUAUAUCUGGUAAAGAUUCAAAAUGACUUGCCUUCCUUCUUGGACAGCGAAAGAAAUUAAGGAGAAUUAUUUAUGAAGGAG